rnacentral:lncRNA from 10 species
CCUGUAUCCUCUGGGCAGUGGCAAAUGGCUCAGCUUGUUGGUCAAGGCCCUGGAAGAUGCAAGACAGCAAGGACAAGGAGGUCUAGGAAAGAGGCAUGUGUUUGAACCUAUGGGAGUAGGCACUAAGUAUAAUGAUCUUUUCAUUACAUGGAAACCGGAAAAUGUCCACUGCAGAAGAUGCACUGAACAACCAAGUGGAAAGGAUGAUUUGGCCAGCAGAUGUCAGCCAGCCUCUGACAUUGGCCCACACAGUGCUUAAACAAUGGACUCACAAACAGAAUGGCUUUGUUGGUAGAGAUGGAAGUUACGUAUGAGCCAAAUAGCAUGGGCUCUCUCUCAUCAAUGCUCAUCUAGCUGCUGCCAAUAUCAAACGUCUGACCUGCCAGCAACAGAGACCAUUCCUGAGCUCUGGAGAGUGCCCUCAGCGAAAUGGGAGGUGUCUCACCUAAGAGGUUACACUUGACCACAGCCAAAUGACUGACUGCCAUGGGGUACAAAAGGCCAGCCCCCUUGCAUCAAGAUGGAAUCAACUCCAGUGCAAUUUGUUCCAAAGUUGAUCAUGGGAUCAGAAUGAAGCCAGCUCCAGUUGAGACCAUGUCCUUUUCUUGCUUGGCUUUUUUCUGCUGCCUCAUCUGCUUCCCUCACUCCCCUCCUU